UGGGAGCACCCCUAUAGGCAACUUUUAGCUGUCUGCUGCCAUUUACUUUUGUGGUGCUUCAUUUUUGAAAAGGAAAAAGAUUUUUGAGGCAAUGCAGCUGAGAACACAUACUUAUGAUGCCUUUAGAAGACAUGCCAGGACAUACCUGGAACCAGCUAUGAUCCACAAAUGGACUGAAUUGCAAACAUAAAAGCUUAAAAUGCUCAGUGAGGCAAAGAGUGUCAUCAUCGGGGGUGAUAUGCGAGCAGACUCACCAGGACAUUUUGCAAACUAUGGGAGCUACACAAUGAUGGAUGUGCAGCCCAGUGAAAUUGCAGACAUACAGCUGGUACAG